rnacentral:lncRNA from 1 species
GCAGGCUUUGAGGGCUCAGAAACUCAAACCAGUUCUCUUCCUGCUGCCUGGGUGUAGAACUCUCAGCUCCUUCUCCAGCACCUUGUCUCCCUGCAUGCCACCAUGUUUCUUGCAGUGAUAAUAAUGGACUAAACCUCUGAUCGACUUCUAGAGCCCAGUGGAUCAUUUUCUGUUCACCAUAGCAAAAUGUUCGCCAGAGGAAGGAAUGAGGACCAUCCUGGAAGAUCUGGGUUCCAGCCCUCCUAAAUAUACUAUCUUGGACCUUGGACAAAGCAUACAUAUUUUUAGUAAUUUAUUGAUUUUUUUGGGGGGGCAUAUAUGCUACAGUGCUUAUGUGUAGGUCAGAGGACAGCUUUCCCAAGUCAGUUCUCUUUGUAGUGUGUGGGUCUUGAGGAUCAAGAGGUCAAUAGAAUGAUAUCUGAAAUUGCAUACAUGCGAAGUGCCUACGUCAUUCCCAUGCAGGCUCUUUGGUUGGCAGCUCAGUCUCUGUCUGCCCCAUGGGCUCAGGUUAGUUCUGUGGGUAUUCUUGUGGUGCCCUUGACCCCUCUGGCCCCUACAAUCCUUCCUUCCCAUCUUCCACAGGAUUCCCCAAGCUCUGCCUAAAGUUUAGCGGGUCUCUGCAUCUGUUUCCAUCAGUUGCUGGGUAAAGCUGAAGUGGAAAUUUCUGGUUUCUUUGGAAAUUCAGAUAUGUCAUAUGAUGUUUUGUUGGGGCAAAUAGGUGAAAGGAUGUUUUGCUGAAGCAGAUAUAAGUGAGAAGAUGUUUUGCUGAAGCAGACAUGUAAGAGGACACAUGAUGCUUAGAAAGACUAUGACUCCACAGACAGUGGAAGGUGGCUCUGGCAUUGGUCAACCUUGUAGUGUGUCACUGAUCUUGGCUUGUCAUGACCUUGUAGAAACCAACUCACCAAAGAACUUCUCGUGAUAUUCCAGAGGCUUCUUGACAUUUCUUCCAACCUGGGCCGAUUGGCAGAGCCUCUCGGGCCAUGCUAAUUCCUGAGUGGUGAUUGCUGAGUGGACUGGACUGCAGCUGCUGAUUGCUAGAGGAUUGGAACUGCCCCAGUGAACUAUUUCUGAACAGGUCCACAACCCCUGUUUCCUAUUAACCUUUCUUUUCCACUACCUCUGGUGGCUGGUGGGCUAGAAGGGAGGUUGAAGCAUUUAAGAACCCUUAUUGAAGAAGGUUUUGAAAACUCUAAGCCUACGUGAAUCAUCUCUGGUGACAACUGGGCUAACCACCAAUCUAUGAGUGUUACAGAAUAUCAUUAAGAGUCAUUUCAUUGACUUUUUUUCCAAUUGUGUUUGGUUCUAUCGUGGGUAUCAGAGGAGGAGUGGAUGGGGUGGAGGGGACAUUGGGGGGAAGAGACUGGGAGGAGGGAGGGGAAACUUUGAUUGGGGUGUAAAAUAAAUGAAAUUAAAAUUUAAAAAAAUCAGCCAGUGAUUAAA